rnacentral:rRNA from 1 species
AUUGUCACAAAUAGCACCUGUGAUAUAUGCGGCAAUGCGGAGGAAGAUGAAUAUCAUGCUGUGGUAUCAUGCACAAAAAGUAGAGCUCUAAGACAAGCAAUGAGGAAUCAUUGGAGGCUCCCGAAAGAAAAUUCUUUCUGGUACACAGGAGAGGAUUGGCUCCAAAACCUUCUGAAUACAUGCGAUUCUGACACCCGGAACAAAAUCCUAAUUAUGCUAUGGCGAGCAUGGUUUCUCAGAGAUAAUAUAAUCCAUAGCGAUGGAAAGGAGACG